GCCUCUGUGGUGUAGUGGCUAACGCACUUGUUUUAGAAAUUUGGGUCGAGGGUUCAAUUCCUAGUGGGGUCU